rnacentral:tRNA from 1 species
CGGGGAGUAGCUCAGCCUGGUAGAGUGCACGGAUCGGGACCGUGAGGCCGGAGGUUCGAAUCCUCUCUCCCCGACCA